GACGAACCGUACGAACGUUAUUCGGAAUCAUUGGGCUUAAAGGGUGCGUAGGCUGCGCGGAAAGUUGGGUGUGAAAUCCCUCGGCUCAACCGAGGAAUUGCGCCCAAAACUACCGUGCUUGAGGGAGACAGAGGUGAGCGGAACUUAGGGUGGAGCGGUGAAAUGCGUUGAUAUCCUAAGGAACACCAGUGGCGAAAGCGGCUCACUGGGUCUCUUCUGACGCUGAGGCACGAAAGCUAGGGGAGCAAACGGG
rnacentral:rRNA from 1 species